rnacentral:tRNA from 1 species
CCCUGGGUGGUGCAAAUGGUUAGCACAUUCAGCUGCUAACCAAAAGGUUGGCAGUUUGAGUCUGCCCAGAGGCA